UUUAAUGUAGAUAAAUUGGACAAAGAAAGAAAGAUGAGGUAACUCGACGUUGGAUUAAGUUCAAAUUCUUUGGGAAGUGUAUAUCUGCAUUCAAAGUUCCUAAAACCACCAUGGAGAAUUGUCGUUAUUCCGGAGACCACAAAAGAGCACUCGCGCCAAUUCGCAAAACAGAUUUUGGAGGGAUACCACAAUGCGUUUAGUGGGCUAGAAACUCAAGCUAUGAGAUCAGCAUAUUACAUAAAUCCAAUAGUUAAAGCGUAUUACAAAAGUUAUGUUCAAAGAGUUAUAGCAAGAAUCAAUACAAUCACUAAAUUCGCGUAUAGUCAAGACCCCGCAAUCAUGGCAUGGGAACUCAUUAACGAGCCGCGUUGUCGAGCGGAUUACUACUCUGGAGGCGGAUGAACAUACUAAAUACUUGGAAGAAUAGGAGUCAACAAAGUCUGAUGAUUCUGCCCAAAUGGUGCUGGACGAAUAGGUGCUGGAAUAGGCUUCUGGUGAAACCAUUGCUUAAGUCAGGAUAUGGACUAUAUUGAAGUAUCCUUAAACUGGUUCAGGUUCCAAUGCUAGAGGACGGUUCAACAAAUUGAGAGAUGCAUUUUCUAAAGUUUAAGGAUGGACCUAAUAAAGUCAACUUUGGUAUAUUUAGUGAUUCCAAGAUACACCAAAUAAUAAGAUGGGCCAGUUAGUUUAAAGACAGAGCAACCAUAGAGGCCGACCCCUUAUUUUCUGAAGCAUACUGGUGGUAUUAAGUUUUUUAAGACUGUGAUGUG